rnacentral:RNase_P_RNA from 1 species
CGAGCCGGCCGGGCGGUCGCGCUGGAUUCCGAACGGGAAUCCGGUGAGGAAGGUCCGGGCUCCGCAGGGCAGGGUGAUCGGUAACGCCGACCCGGGGCGACCCGAGGGAAAGUGCCACAGAAAACAAACCGCCCGUGGUCCGGGGCUCCGGCCCGGGGCCUGCGGGUAAGGGUGAAACGGCGGUGUAAGAGACCACCAGCACCCGGGGUGACCCGGGUGGCUCGGUAAACCCCACCCGGAGCAAGGUCAGAAGGGCGCCGCGCCUGCGGGCGCGGGGCCUGCGCGAGCGAUUGAGGGUGGCCCGCCCGAUGCUCGCGGGUAGGCCGCACGAGGCUGCCGGCAACGGCAGUCCCAGAUGGAUGGCCGCCGGCCCGCGUCAGCGGGUGCACAGAACCCGGCCUACAGGCCGGCUCGCCCG